rnacentral:rRNA from 1 species
UACGUAGGGGGCAAGCGUUGUCCGGAAUUAUUGGGCGUAAAGAGCGCGUAGGCGGUCCGAUAAGUCGGCUGUGAAAGUCAGGGGCUCAACCCUUGGAAGCCGGCCGAUACUGUCGGACUAGAGUCCGGAAGAGGCGAGUGGAAUUCCCGGUGUAGCGGUGAAAUGCGCAGAUAUCGGGAGGUACACCAAUGGCGAAGGCAGCUCGCUGGGACGGUACUGACGCUGAGGCGCGAAAGCGUGGGGAGCAAACAGG